rnacentral:lncRNA from 1 species
UAGCCGUCUCAUUUACCCAAUGGGUCGGCCCUCCUCCUUUUGUUUCCGCCCCCAAAGAGCCGUUACAGUAUGAUUUUGCGGUAUAAUCAAACCCCGGUGUGCUUGAGGACACAUUGGUCCACCCGGUCCAGUUAAGGUUUCUAUAGACAUUUAUCCCUUGUUGAUUAUUCCCAAAGUGCACGCAUGCUGCACCGGUGUAGUUAAUUGGUGCUACCAAACCCAGAAGGUCAAGCUCUUGCGGGUCCCAGGGCAAUGAUGCAUUCAGCGUGUCAAUGCUCUCUCAGCUUUGGUAGGUCUACGGUCAAAUUCAAUGGGACCCCUAUUAAGCAUGUCUGGUUCGCCUUUCACCCCUUGGAGUCCCAGUCCCAGCAUCGCUACGAGGAGAGCUACUUGGGUYGCUCCCCCUGCCAUCUUCUCGGGUUUUCUGGUUACGCGUUCUUCUUGUGGUUUCACGCGCCUUUUCUCAUCUGUUCUUCUUCUCCUGUCUGCUGUCUUUGCUGCUAGGAGGGAUCAUCRGCYWUUCAGGGUGGUCCUCCCCUGCAAUAAAGCUCAGACAUUCAUUAAUUCAUCUGACUCUCUGCUUCCUGUCUUGUCCUUCCCCUGAGGUCUGGGCGCACCCACUUUGCAGGGACCCAUCUUACCACUUCUCCCUG